rnacentral:rRNA from 1 species
GACGAACCGUGCGAACGUUGUUCGGAUUCAUUGGGCGUAAAGGGUGCGUAGGCGGCGCGGUAAGUCGGAUGUGAAAUCUCGGAGCUUAACUUCGAAACUGCAUUCGAUACUGCCGUGCUUGAGGACUGGAGAGGAGACUGGAAUUUACGGUGUAGCGGUGAAAUGCGUAGAUAUCGUAAGGAAGACCAGUGGCGAAGGCGGGUCUCUGGACAGUUCCUGACGCUGAGGCACGAAGGUCAGGGGAGCAAACGGG